AGUCUAUUCAGAGGAACUUGUUUUGUAAUCGAUAAUCCGCGAUGGACCUUACUUAAAUUUGUAAAUCAGUUUAUAUACCGUUGUUAUUAGAAUAUUUUAUAAAAAUGUUAAUUUUCAUAAUUUUAAAAAAGAAAAUAUAUCAAAUCAAGGUGUAGCUAAUAUUUAAGUAUUAAUGAGUUACAAUAAAUUUAUUUAAAUGGAUAUAAAUUUGAAAUAUUUAUUGAAAGUGGAUUUGAUAGUAAAAUUAUAAAGAUUAUUAUUUUGAUUUUAGCUCUAAAAUAUGUACACAUCGCCCGUCACUCUUGUUAUUAAGGUAAGAUAAGUCGUAACAUAGUAGAUGUACUGGAAAGUGUAUCUAGAAUGCAAUUUAAAACUUAAUUAGUAAAGUAUUUCAUUUACAUUGAAAAAAUUUUUGUGCAAAUCAAUAUAAAUUGAUUAAAUUUUAUUUAUUAAUAAAUUGUAUUUUUUGUAAAAAUUUUUAUAUUAAAAAUAAUUAUAAAAAUUUAAUUUUUAGUAUUUUUUAAAGAAAAAAUAAUUUUAAUUAUAGUUUAAUAGUAUUGUAAAAGAAUAUUGAAAUAAUUUGAAAAAUAAUUAUUGUAAAAGAAAAUU
rnacentral:rRNA from 1 species